UACGAAGGGUGCAAACGUUGCUCGGAAUUAUUGGGCGUAAAGCGCACGUAGGCGGCAUUGCAAGUCGGAUGUGAAAUCUUAUGGCUUAACCAUAAAAGUGCAUCCGAACUGCAGUGCUUGAGUACUUAAGAGGAUCGCGGGAAUUCCCGGUGUAGAGGUGAAAUUCGUAGAUAUCGGGAGGAACACCAGUGGCGAAGGCG
rnacentral:rRNA from 1 species